CCUACGGGAGGCAGCAGUCGGGAAUAUUGCGCAAUGGAGGAAACUCUGACGCAGUGACGCCGCGUGCAGGAAGAAGGUUUUCGGAUUGUAAACUGCUUUAGACAGGGAAGAAACAAGACAGUACCUGUAAAAUAAGCUCCGGCUAACUACGUGCCAGCAGCCGCGGUAAUACGGAGGAUGCGAGCGUUAUCCGGAUUUAUUGGGUUUAAAGGGUGCGUAGGCGGACUGUUAAGUCAGCGGUAAAAGCCCGGGGCUCAACCCCGGCGAGCCGUUGAAACUGGCUGUCUUGAGAUGUCGAGAGGUAUGCGGAAUGCGCAGUGUAGCGGUGAAAUGCUUAGAUAUCACGAAGAACUCCGAUUGCGAAGGCAGCCUACUAAACUGCCACUGACAUUGAUGCUCGAAAGUGUGGGUAUCAAACAGGAUUAGAUACCCGAGUAGUC
rnacentral:rRNA from 1 species